rnacentral:rRNA from 1 species
ACUCCUACGGGAGGCAGCAGUGGGGAAUAUUGCACAAUGGGGGAAACCCUGAUGCAGCCAUGCCGCGUGUGUGAAGAAGGCCUUCGGGUUGUAAAGCACUUUCAGUAGGGAGGAAGGUAGUGUAGUUAACACCUGCACUAUUUGACGUUACCUACAGAAGAAGCACCGGCUAACUCCGUGCCAGCAGCCGCGGUAAUACGGAGGGUGCGAGCGUUAAAUCGGAAUUACUGGGCGUAAAGCGCAUGCAGGCGGCCUGUUAAGUCAGAUGUGAAAGCCCGGGGCUUAACCUCGGAAUUGCAUUUGAAACUGGCAGGCUAGAGUCUUGUAGAGGGGGGUAGAAUUUCAGGUGUAGCGGUGAAAUGCGUAGAGAUCUGAAGGAAUACCAGUGGCGAAGGCGGCCCCCUGGACAAA